UACGUAGGGGGCUAGCGUUGUCCGGAAUCAUUGGGCGUAAAGCGCGUGUAGGCGGUCCGGUAAGUCCGCUGUGAAAGUCGGGGGCUCAACCCUUGAAAGCCGGCCGAUACUGUCGGACUAGAGUCCGGAAGAGGCGAGUGGAAUUCCCGGUGUAGCGGUGAAAUGCGCAGAUAUCGGGAGGAACACCAAUGGCGAAGGCAGCUCGCUGGGACGGUACUGACGCUGAGGCGCGAAAGCGUGGGGAGCAAACAGG
rnacentral:rRNA from 1 species